UACAGAGGGUGCAAACGUUGUUCGGAAUUACUGGGCGUAAAGCGCGUGUAGGCGGCCUUGCAAGUCGGGUGUGAAAGCCCCGGGCUCAACCUGGGAAGUGCACUCGAAACUGCUUGGCUUGAGUACUGGAGAGGGAAGCGGAAUUCUCGGUGUAGAGGUGAAAUUCGUAGAUAUCGAGAGGAACACCGGUGGCGAAGGCGGCUUCCUGGACAGUUACUGACGCUGAGACGCGAAAGCGUGGGGAGCAAACAGG
rnacentral:rRNA from 1 species